UACGAACCGUGCAAACGUUAUUCGGAAUCACUGGGCUUAAAGGGCGCGUAGGCGGGCCGCCAGGUCCGGGGUGAAAGCCUCCAGCUCAACUGGAGAAGUGCCUUGGAUACCGGCGGCCUCGAGGGAGGUAGGGGCGUGCGGAACUUCGGGUGGAGCGGUGAAAUGCGUAGAUAUCCGAAGGAACACCGGUGGCGAAAGCGGCGCGCUGGAUCUCUUCUGACGCUGAGGCGCGAAAGCCAGGGGAGCAAACGGG
rnacentral:rRNA from 1 species